UUUGUAGGGAUGGCUGGGCUCCUCGUCCUUUUCCUGAAAGCCCAGUGCUUCAGGCCGAGCGGGGCCUUAGGGCUUUUUCUCAAGUCCUGGGGAGGUGGCGUGGCUCCAGCACCCUUGGCGAAGGAGCUGCCCGUGCUGUACAGGCCUUAGGACACCAAGGAGACAACGCUCCGAGCCCCCAUGGGCCUUUGAGAGCUUCAUGGCCCUCUCUCUUAUCAGGGAUAUAGGGACGUGAAACUACACGGCAGCAGCUUGGGUUUUAUUUAUUUAUUUAUUUUUUAAACUGUUGAUUUGAUUUCGUUCCUCACUUCAAUAACGCGAGAUUUGGAGAAGCAGUUGGAACUCACACGCGGCAGUUAGUGCCUGUGAGAUGAGGUGGAGAAGGCGUUUCACGCCAGCGUUUGAGCUGCCUGGGGGUCGCCGGGGAUUUGGAGUUCCAUUCUUUGUGAAGAGCUUUGCGCGGGAUUCAAAGGAAGCUCGCUUGGUGCCACCUGGCUGCUUAGCUCCAGUGUUGGUUGGUUCGUCUGCAAACCUCAGUGUCCACAGACCCAGGGAAUUAUCUUAAUAAAGUUGUCGAGGUUAAAAACAGAAACACCAAUCCCUGCUUCCCGAAACCUAACUGCAAGAGAUGGCAUAAGGAAAUGAUAUCCAAGAGAUUGAGGUGAAAGCUGACGAACGUUUGUGACUUUUAUUCUCAGAUUUCGUGCCUCAAUGCUGCCAUUGAAACCUGUUGGCCAGAUUCAAGAAAGAAGAAACAUUACCAUUCACAUCUUAUAAUUUUGUCAUUUUAUCUACUGAAUAAAAUGUUUAUCAUUCCUCUUGAAGCCCUGGUGACUCAGACGGUAAAACGUCUGUCUACAAUGUGGGAGAUCCAGGUUCUAUCCCUGGGUUGAGAAGAUCCCCUGGAGAAGGAAGUGGAAAUCCACUCCAGUACUCUUGCCUGGAAAAUCCCAUGGACAGAGGAGCCUGGUAGGCUACAGUCCAUGGGGUCGCAAAGAGUCAGACACCACUGAGCGACUUCACUUUCACUUUUCAUUCCUCUUGAAGGCAUUCAUCUUGAAACUUCAGUGACUUUCUGUUUUAAUUCAAACCUGUUGCAUUUUAAACCAGUUACCCAGUUUUGUAAUGGGAUUUCUAGGAAAUUUAAAUGUUUCUCUAUGAAUAUCAUUCCCAUUUUGUUUUAAGUAUGAUAUCACUAACUUUUCCUAAAUAGUUACUUUGGAAACUAACAUAAACCAAUUGUUCAUUAGUGAUUCUCUCACAGUAUUGUAUCAGAUUAUAUUGAAGAUAAAAUCAUUUAUUAAAGGAGGAUUUAUUAA